rnacentral:rRNA from 1 species
ACAUUUUAAUAAUUUUAUUAAUUCAUUUAUUUAAAUUUUCUUAAAUGUAAAAAGACAUUUAUUUUUUAGAAAGACGACAAGACCCUAUUGAACUUUACUAAAGUUUAACUGGGGCAGUAAAUUAAUUAUUAUUUUAAUUUUAAUAAAAAAUAAAAUAACUAAUAACAUUAAAUAAACAAGUUACCUUAGGGAUAACAGCAUAAUAAAAUUUUAAAGUCCUUAUUUUAAAUAAAGAUUAUGACCUCGAUGUUGAAUUAAUUUUCUUCUAUAAGCAAUAAUAUAAAAAGAAAGUCUGUUCGACUUUUAAAUAAUUACAUGAUUUGAGUUCAAACCGGUGUAAGCCAGGUUGGUUUCCAUCUUCUAAAAACUUUUUCAUAGUACGAAAGGACCAGAAAAAAUAAUUUAUUUUAUAAUUUGGCAGAAAAAUGCAUUAGAAUUAGAAUCUAAUAAUAUAACA